UUAAGCGACUAAGCGUACACGGUGGAUGCCCUGGCAGUCAGAGGCGAUGAAGGACGUGCUAAUCUGCGAUAAGCGUCGGUAAGGUGAUAUGAACCGUUAUAAGUACCCCGAGGAAAAGAAAUCAACCGAGAUUCCCCCAGUAGCGGCGAGCGAACGGGGAGCAGCCCAGAGCCUGAAUCAGUGUGUGUGUUAGUGGAAGCGUCUGGAAAGGCGCGCGAUACAGGGUGACAGCCCCGUACACAAAAAUGCACWUGCUGUGAGCUCGAUGAGUAGGGCGGGACACGUGGUAUCCUGUCUGAAUAUGGGGGGACCAUCCUCCAAGGCUAAAUACUCCUGACUGACCGAUAGUGAACCAGUACCGUGAGGGAAAGGCGAAAAGAACCCCGGCGAGGGGAGUGAAAAAGAACCUGAAACCGUGUACGUACAAGCAGUGGGAGCACGCUUAGGCGUGUGACUGCGUACCUUUUGUAUAAUGGGUCAGCGACUUAUAUUCUGUAGCAAGGUUAACCGAAUAGGGGAGCCGAAGGGAAACCGAGUCUUAACUGGGCGUUAAGUUGCAGGGUAUAGACCCGAAACCCGGUGAUCUAGCCAUGGGCAGGUUGAAGGUUGGGUAACACUAACUGGAGGACCGAACCGACUAAUGUUGAAAAAUUAGCGGAUGACUUGUGGCUGGGGGUGAAAGGCCAAUCAAACCGGGAGAUAGCUGGUUCUCCCCGAAAGCUAUUUAGGUAGCGCCUCGUGAAUUCAUCUCCGGGGGUAGAGCACUGUUUCGGCAAGGGGGUCAUCCCGACUUACCAACCCGAUGCAAACUGCGAAUACCGGAGAAUGUUAUCACGGGAGACACACGGCGGGUGCUAACGUCCGUCGUGAAGAGGGAAACAACCCAGACCGCCAGCUAAGGUCCCAAAGUCAUGGUUAAGUGGGAAACGAUGUGGGAAGGCCCAGACAGCCAGGAUGUUGGCUUAGAAGCAGCCAUCAUUUAAAGAAAGCGUAAUAGCUCACUGGUCGAGUCGGCCUGCGCGGAAGAUGUAACGGGGCUAAACCAUGCACCGAAGCUGCGGCAGCGACGCUGAUGCGUUGUUGGGUAGGGGAGCGUUCUGUAAGCCUGCGAAGGUGUGCUGUGAGGCAUGCUGGAGGUAUCAGAAGUGCGAAUGCUGACAUAAGUAACGAUAAAGCGGGUGAAAAGCCCGCUCGCCGGAAGACCAAGGGUUCCUGUCCAACGUUAAUCGGGGCAGGGUGAGUCGACCCCUAAGGCGAGGCCGAAAGGCGUAGUCGAUGGGAAACAGGUUAAUAUUCCUGUACUUGGUGUUACUGCGAAGGGGGGACGGAGAAGGCUAUGUUGGCCGGGCGACGGUUGUCCCGGUUUAAGCGUGUAGGCUGGUUUUCCAGGCAAAUCCGGAAAAUCAAGGCUGAGGCGUGAUGACGAGGCACUACGGUGCUGAAGCAACAAAUGCCCUGCUUCCAGGAAAAGCCUCUAAGCAUCAGGUAACAUCAAAUCGUACCCCAAACCGACACAGGUGGUCAGGUAGAGAAUACCAAGGCGCUUGAGAGAACUCGGGUGAAGGAACUAGGCAAAAUGGUGCCGUAACUUCGGGAGAAGGCACGCUGAUAUGUAGGUGAAGUCCCUYGCGGAUGGAGCUGAAAUCAGUCGAAGAUACCAGCUGGCUGCAACUGUUUAUUAAAAACACAGCACUGUGCAAACACGAAAGUGGACGUAUACGGUGUGACGCCUGCCCGGUGCCGGAAGGUUAAUUGAUGGGGUYAGCGCAAGCGAAGCUCUUGAUCGAAGCCCCGGUAAACGGCGGCCGUAACUAUAACGGUCCUAAGGUAGCGAAAUUCCUUGUCGGGUAAGUUCCGACCUGCACGAAUGGCGUAAUGAUGGCCAGGCUGUCUCCACCCGAGACUCAGUGAAAUUGAACUCGCUGUGAAGAUGCAGUGUACCCGCGGCAAGACGGAAAGACCCCGUGAACCUUUACUAUAGCUUGACACUGAACAUUGAGCCUUGAUGUGUAGGAUAGGUGGGAGGCUUGGAAGUGUGGACGCCAGUCUGCAUGGAGCCGACCUUGAAAUACCACCCUUUAAUGUUUGAUGUUCUAACGUUGACCCGUAAUCCGGGUUGCGGACAGUGUCUGGUGGGUAGUUUGACUGGGGCGGUCUCCUCCUAAAGAGUAACGGAGGAGCACGAAGGUUGGCUAAUCCUGGUCGGACAUCAGGAGGUUAGUGCAAUGGCAUAAGCCAGCUUGACUGCGAGCGUGACGGCGCGAGCAGGUGCGAAAGCAGGUCAUAGUGAUCCGGUGGUUCUGAAUGGAAGGGCCAUCGCUCAACGGAUAAAAGGUACUCCGGGGAUAACAGGCUGAUACCGCCCAAGAGUUCAUAUCGACGGCGGUGUUUGGCACCUCGAUGUCGGCUCAUCACAUCCUGGGGCUGAAGUAGGUCCCAAGGGUAUGGCUGUUCGCCAUUUAAAGUGGUACGCGAGCUGGGUUUAGAACGUCGUGAGACAGUUCGGUCCCUAUCUGCCGUGGGCGCUGGAGAACUGAGGGGGGCUGCUCCUAGUACGAGAGGACCGGAGUGGACGCAUCACUGGUGUUCGGGUUGUCAUGCCAAUGGCACUGCCCGGUAGCUAAAUGCGGAAGAGAUAAGUGCUGAAAGCAUCUAAGCACGAAACUUGCCCCGAGAUGAGUUCUCCCUGAC
rnacentral:rRNA from 1 species